GCCCAAUUCUAACUUGAUCGGCUAAGUGGAUAGUGCUUGAAAAUCUGUCUUCCUGUCUUACUAUUGUCCUCUGAGACUGAGUCAACUAACUUUCUAACUUGAUCGACUAAGAUUUUGUCUGGAUCGACUAAGCAAAAUCUGGAUUGACUAAGUCUUCUACAACCAAAAAUUUGGCUUUCUAUUACUGAUACUUAGUCGGCUCAAAUAUCCUCUUAGUCGAUUCAAAUUAUGUGCCAAGCAUGCCAUAAAAUUUUUGACAGUCUUUCUUCUCUAAAUUCAUUUCUAGA
rnacentral:lncRNA from 1 species